AAGGAAGGAGAGGGGGUUGUAGCUGGCCUUUUAUCGGCACGUGCACGCUCUCUUUCUCGACCUAGGCCUUAUGGGSSSSGGGGSAACCSSSGYYUYCWWAASCCCYUCSUGGWAAAAGKYYAAKAAWGGUUUUUACUAUCAUCGAGUYGCGACUUCUAGGAGACGCGGUUCUUUGAGACAAAAGUUUAUUACAACUUUCAGCAAUGGAUCUCUUGGCUCUCGCAUCGAUGAAGAACGCAGCGAAUCGCGAUAUGUAAUGUGAAUUGCAGAUCUACAGUGAAUCAUCGAAUCUUUGAACGCACCUUGCGCUUAUCGGUGUUCCGAUGAGCAUGCCUGUUUGAGCGUCUUUAAAUUCUCAACCCCUCUCGAUUCGUUUCGAGAGGGAGCUUGGAUUGUGGAGGCUGCCGGAGACCUGUUUUUCAGGACUCGGGCUCCUCUGAAAUGUAUUGGCUUGCGGUCGACUUUCGACCAUGCAUGACAAGGCCUUUGGCGUGAUAAUGAUCGCCGCUCGCCGAAGUGCAUGAAUGAAUGGUCUCGUGCCUCUAAUCAGUCGACGCCUUUUCGAAGGUCGUCUUCCUUAUCGACGUUUGACCUCAAAUCAGGUAGGACUACCCGCUGAACUUAAGCAUAUCAAUAAGC
rnacentral:rRNA from 1 species